rnacentral:rRNA from 1 species
AACCUCCGCAAUGUGAGAAAUCGCGACGGGGGGAUCCCAAGUGCCAUUCUUAACGGGAUGGCUUUUCAUUAGUGUAAAGAGCUUUUGGAAUAAGAGCUGGGCAAGACCGGUGCCAGCCGCCGCGGUAACACCGGCAGCUCUAGUGGUAACAAUUUUUAUUGGGCCUAAAGCGUCCGUAGCCGGUUUAAUAAGUCUCUGGUGAAAUCCUGCAGCUUAACUGUGGGAAUUGCUGGAGAUACUAUUAGACUUGAGACCGGGAGAGGUUAGAGGUACUCCCAGGGUAGAGGUGAAAUUCUGUAAUCCUGGGAGAUCGCCUGUUGCGAAGGCGUCUAACUGGAACGGUUCUGACGGUGAGGGACGAAAGUUAGGGGCGCGAACCGGAUUAGAUACCCGGGUAGUCCUAACUGUAAACGAUGCGGACUUGGUGUUGGGGUGGCUUUGAGCUGCUUCAGUGCCGAAGGGAAGCUGUUAAGUCCGCCGCCUGGGAGUACGGUCGCAAGACUGAAACUUAAAGGAAUU